CUACGGGAUGCUCCAGUGGGGAAUAUUGCACAAUGGAGGAAACUCUGAUGCAGCGACGCCGCGUGAGUGAAGAAGUAUUUCGGUAUGUAAAGCUCUAUCAGCAGGGAAGAUAGUGACGGUACCUGACUAAGAAGCACCGGCUAAAUACGUGCCAGCAGCCGCGGUAAUACGUAUGGUGCAAGCGUUAUCCGGAUUUACUGGGUGUAAAGGGAGUGUAGGUGGCAUGGCAAGUCAGAAGUGAAAGCCCAGGGCUCAACCCUGGGACUGCUUUUGAAACUGCCGAGCUAGAGUGCAGGAGAGGUAAGUGGAAUUCCUAGUGUAGCGGUGAAAUGCGUAGAUAUUAGGAGGAACACCAGCGGCGAAGGCGGCUUACUGGACUGUAACUGACACUGAGGCUCGAAAGCGUGGGGAGCAAACAGGAUUAGAUACCCUGGUAGUC
rnacentral:rRNA from 1 species